rnacentral:misc_RNA from 1 species
UGUGGGAGCGAGCCUGCUCGCGAUCCAGGCGACUCGGUUUGGCUUGGCACCGAAGUGAUGCCAUCGCGAGCAGGCUCGCUCCCACA